rnacentral:rRNA from 1 species
UAGGGAAGUCUUCCACAAUGGGCGGAAAGACCUGAUGGAGCAACGCCGCGUGUGUGAUGAAGGGUUUCGGCUCGUAAACACUGUUGUAAGAGAAGAAUGACAUUGAGAGUAACUGUUCAAUGUGUGACGGUAUCUUACCAGAAAGGAACGGCUAAAUACGUGCCAG